rnacentral:rRNA from 1 species
GACGAACGCUGGCGGCGUGCUUAACACAUGCAAGUCGAGCGGUAAGGCCCUUUCGGGGGUACGACGAGCGGCGAACGGGUGAGUAACACGUGGGUGACCUGCCCUCAGCUCUGGGAUAAGCCUGGGAAACCGAGUCUAAUACUGGAUAUGACUCCAUGACGCAUGUUGUGGGGUGGAAAGCCUUGUGCGGCUGAGGAUGGGCCCGCGGCCUAUCAGCUUGUUGGUGGGGUGAUGGCCGUACCAAGGCGACGACGGGUAGCCGGCCUGAGAGGGCGACCGGCCACACUGGGACUGAGACACGGCCCAGACUCCUACGGGAGGC